AUGCCGGAUGCGCUGGAGCUCACGGUAAGGCAGGCCCAGGUGCAGGGCCACAGCUGGCCAGUCAGGGCCCAGGCGCCCGGCCACAUUCAGCAGGUUGCUCUGGGUCAGGAAGCCAGUCUCGGCGUCGCCCAGGUUCAGAGGUGCCAGGGAGAGGCCAGGCUCCCGGGUCGGGCCCUCGCAUCCCCGCAAUCUCUGCGGGCAGAGCCACUGGGCCUGAGAGGCCUCAUCUGCACAGCAAACCCUAGGCACAGCCCAAAAGUGCCAAGCCCGCUGCCCUCUGGAGUAAGCGGCCUGUCCAGGAGCCGAUCUUCUUCGGCCAGGAGAGCCAGGAAGCCCUACCCUGCACCUCUCCCGCCUCCUCUGCCUCCAGGGAGGAACAGGAGGCGCCGACGUCCAGGCUGGGAGCCGCCCCAGUCAGGGGCUGGCGGGGUGCACGGCCCCGCCCUGGCGGGCAGGUCCCUGCAAACUUCACCCUGUGGGCCCCACCAGGCAGAAGCGAAGGGAGUGCCUUUCCUCUCUUGCAUUCCCAGAUGCUGCCGGGAAGCUUCUGGAGUGGCUUUGUCGGGCAAAACAUAAACCACGCUGCUAUCAACCACUCCCAGAUGCCCGCCACUGCCAGCGAAGGAC
rnacentral:lncRNA from 1 species